GUAGAAGAGACUACACGAAAAGUCGUCAGCACAACUCGAAAACAGGCGAACGGGUUAUGACCUUCCGGGAGUUCAAAUCUCCCUUUCUCUGCCA
rnacentral:tRNA from 1 species